rnacentral:rRNA from 1 species
AGUGAACGCUGGCGGUAGGCCUAACACAUGCAAGUCGAACGGCAGCACAGUAAGAGCUUGCUCUUACGGGUGGCGAGUGGCGGACGGGUGAGGAAUACAUCGGAAUCUACUUUUUCGUGGGGGAUAACGUAGGGAAACUUACGCUAAUACCGCAUACGACCUACGGGUGAAAGCAGGGGAUCUUCGGACCUUGCGCGAUUGAUUGAGCCGAUGUCGGAUUAGCUAGUUGGCGGGGUAAAGGCCCACCAAGGCGACGAUACGUAGCUGGUCUGAGAGGAUGAUCAGCCACACUGGAACUGAGACACGGUCCAGACUCCUACGGGAGGCAGCAGUGGGGAAUAUUGGACAAUGGGCGCAAGCCUGAUCCAGCCAUACCGCGUGGGUGAAGAAGGCCUUCGGGUUGUAAAGCCCUUUUAUUGGGAAAGAAAAGCAGCAGGUUAAUACCCCGCUGUUCUGACGGUACCCAAAGAAUAAGCACCGGCUAACUUCGUG